UACCAGCACCCCGAGUGGUCGGGACGUUUAUUGGGCCUAAAGCAUCCGUAGCCGGUUCUACAAGUCUUCCGUUAAAUCCACCUGCUUAACAGAUGGGCUGCGGAAGAUACUAUAGAGCUAGGAGGCGGGAGAGGCAAGCGGUACUCGAUGGGUAGGGGUAAAAUCCGUUGAUCCAUUGAAGACCACCAGUGGCGAAGGCGGCUUGCCAGAACGCCCUCGACGGUGAGGGAUGAAAGCUGGGGGAGCAAACCGG
rnacentral:rRNA from 1 species